rnacentral:lncRNA from 1 species
UUUUUUGUAUUUUUAGUAGAGACGGGGUUUCACCGUGUUAGCCAGGAUCGUCUUGAUCUCCUGACCUUGUGAUCCACCCACCUCGGCCUCCCAAAUUGCUGGGAUUACAGGUGUGAGCCACCGCACCUGGUCCAAGAACCCAAGUUUUAGAUCUAGAGUGAUGUCAGCAUGACAUUGAUUUCCUGAGGCCCAGGUGUGAAGGAGCUGAGGACAGCAGAGGGGUGAAGGAACUCAGCUACAGACAGCAGCAGCUGAUGCACAGGCCUCCCAGCGCCUGAAGUCACCUGGAAUUGGGAAGUGCUCAGAAGCUUACAAAGCUGCCUCGAGGAACAGUAAGAGGACCUUGUGCAUGAAUAAUUUGUUUCCACACUGCAGAAAGAAUCCCAGACUUCUUAGAGAACCCAGUGACUUUUUGCACCUUAAAUCUGUGAAAUCCUCAUGCUUUCUUCCAUAGUUCAAACAAACAUGAGGCAAAGCUAGACACAUUCCUGAAGGAACCCAAGAAAUUCCUCUCUUUCUGUCUCUGGAAUGAAAUGAAUUCUCUAGACCACCAGUUCUAACCUUCAAAAACCAAACCUGUUUGUGAGAUCUCCUUCAAAUACUACUGUAGACCCCAGUGUUUAUUCAUUAAAUUUUUUAAAUAUUUGUUUUAUUUGG